GUGACUGCGUACCUUUUGUAUAAUGGGUCAGCGACUUAUAUUCUGUAGCAAGGUUAACCGAAUAGGGGAGCCGAAGGGAAACCGAGUCUUAACUGGGCGUUAAGUUGCAGGGUAUAGACCCGAAACCCGGUGAUCUAGCCAUGGGCAGGUUGAAGGUUGGGUAACACUAACUGGAGGACCGAACCGACUAAUGUUGAAAAAUUAGCGGAUGACUUGUGGCUGGGGGUGAAAGGCCAAUCAAACCGGGAGAUAGCUGGUUCUCCCCGAAAGCUAUUUAGGUAGCGCCUCGUGAAUUCAUCUCCGGGGGUAGAGCACUGUUUCGGCAAGGGGGUCAUCCCGACUUACCAACCCGAUGCAAACUGCGAAUACCGGAGAAUGUUAUCACGGGAGACACACGGCGGGUGCUAACGUCCGUCGUGAAGAGGGAAACAACCCAGACCGCCAGCUAAGGUCCCAAAGUCAUGGUUAAGUGGGAAACGAUGUGGGAAGGCCCAGACAGCCAGGAUGUUGGCUUAGAAGCAGCCAUCAUUUAAAGAAAGCGUAAUAGCUCACUGGUCGAGUCGGCCUGCGCGGAAGAUGUAACGGGGCUAAACCAUGCACCGAAGCUGCGGCAGCGACACUGUGUGUUGUUGGGUAGGGGAGCGUUCUGUAAGCCUGUGAAGGUGUGCUGUGAGGCAUGCUGGAGGUAUCAGAAGUGCGAAUGCUGACAUAAGUAACGAUAAAGCGGGUGAAAAGCCCGCUCGCCGGAAGACCAAGGGUUCCUGUCCAACGUUAAUCGGGGCAGGGUGAGUCGACCCCUAAGGCGAGGCCGAAAGGCGUAGUCGAUGGGAAACAGGUUAAUAUUCCUGUACUUGGUGUUACUGCGAAGGGGGGACGGAGAAGGCUAUGUUGGCCGGGCGACGGUUGUCCCGGUUUAAGCGUGUAGGCUGGUUUUCCAGGCAAAUCCGGAAAAUCAAGGCUGAGGCGUGAUGACGAGGCACUACGGUGCUGAAGCAACAAAUGCCCUGCUUCCAGGAAAAGCCUCUAAGCAUCAGGUAACAUCAAAUCGUACCCCAAACCGACACAGGUGGUCAGGUAGAGAAUACCAAGGCGCUUGAGAGAACUCGGGUGAAGGAACUAGGCAAAAUGGUGCCGUAACUUCGGGAGAAGGCACGCUGAUAUGUAGGUGAAGUCCCUCGCGGAUGGAGCUGAAAUCAGUCGAAGAUACCAGCUGGCUGCAACUGUUUAUUAAAAACACAGCACUGUGCAAACACGAAAGUGGACGUAUACGGUGUGACGCCUGCCCGGUGCCGGAAGGUUAAUUGAUGGGGUCAGCGCAAGCGAAGCUCUUGAUCGAAGCCCCGGUAAACGGCGGCCGUAACUAUAACGGUCCUAAGGUAGCGAAAUUCCUUGUCGGGUAAGUUCCGACCUGCACGAAUGGCGUAAUGAUGGCCAGGCUGUCUCCACCCGAGACUCAGUGAAAUUGAACUCGCUGUGAAGAUGCAGUGUACCCGCGGCAAGACGGAAAGACCCCGUGAACCUUUACUAUAGCUUGACACUGAACAUUGAGCCUUGAUGUGUAGGAUAGGUGGGAGGCUUUGAAGUGUGGACGCCAGUCUGCAUGGAGCCGACCUUGAAAUACCACCCUUUAAUGUUUGAUGUUCUAACGUGGACCCGUGAUCCGGGUUGCGGACAGUGUCUGGUGGGUAGUUUGACUGGGGCGGUCUCCUCCUAAAGAGUAACGGAGGAGCACGAAGGUUGGCUAAUCCUGGUCGGACAUCAGGAGGUUAGUGCAAUGGCAUAAGCCAGCUUGACUGCGAGCGUGACGGCGCGAGCAGGUGCGAAAGCAGGUCAUAGUGAUCCGGUGGUUCUGAAUGGAAGGGCCAUCGCUCAACGGAUAAAAGGUACUCCGGGGAUAACAGGCUGAUACCGCCCAAGAGUUCAUAUCGACGGCGGUGUUUGGCACCUCGAUGUCGGCUCAUCACAUCCUGGGGCUGAAGUAGGUCCCAAGGGUAUGGCUGUUCGCCAUUUAAAGUGGUACGCGAGCUGGGUUUAGAACGUCGUGAGACAGUUCGGUCCCUAUCUGCCGUGGGCGCUGGAGAACUGAGGGGGGCUGCUCCUAGUACGAGAGGACCGGAGUGGACGCAUCACUGGUGUUCGGGUUGUCAUGCCAAUGGCACUGCCCGGUAGCUAAAUGCGGAAGAGAUAAGUGCUGAAAGCAUCUAAGCACGAAACUUGCCCCGAGAUGAGUUCUCCCUGACCCUUUAAGGGUCCUGAAGGAACGUUGAAGACGACGACGUUGAUAGGCCGGGUGUGUAAGCGCAGCGAUGCGUUGAGCUAACCGGUACUAAUGAACCGUGAGGCUUAACCU
rnacentral:rRNA from 2 species